GACGGAGGAUGCAAGUGUUAUCCGGAAUCACUGGGCGUAAAGCGUCUGUAGGUGGUCAAAUACGUCAACUGUUAAAUCUUGAGGCUCAACCUCAAAAUCGCAGUCGAAACUAUUAGACUAGAGUAUAGUAGGGGUAAAGGGAAUUUCCAGUGGAGCGGUGAAAUGCGUAGAGAUUGGAAAGAACACCGAUGGCGAAGGCACUUUACUGGGCUAUUACUAACACUCAGAGACGAAAGCUAGGGUAGCAAAUGGG
rnacentral:rRNA from 1 species